rnacentral:rRNA from 1 species
UACGUAAGGGGCAAGCGUUGUCCGGAUUUACUGGGCGUAAAGAGCGCGUAGGCGGAGGGAGAAGUCCGGUGUGAAAGCCCACGGCUCAACCGUGGAAGGUCGCUGGAAACUCUUCUUCUUGAGGGCGACAGAGGGAAGUGGAAUUGCUGGUGUAGCGGUGAAAUGCGUAGAUAUCAGCAGGAACACCCAUGGCGAAGGCAGCUUCCUGGGUCGGCCCUGACGCUGAGGCGCGAAAGCGUGGGGAGCGAACGGGG